GCUUUGGUGGCCUAGUGGUUAGAACGUCUGCCUCAGAUGUAGGAUGUCGUGGGUUCGAUCCCCAAUUGAGUCA